rnacentral:rRNA from 1 species
GAUGAACGCUAGCUACAGGCUUAACACAUGCAAGUCGAGGGGCAGCAUGAACUUAGCUUGCUAAGUUUGAUGGCGACCGGCGCACGGGUGAGUAACACGUAUCCAACCUGCCGAUGACUCGGGGAUAGCCUUUCGAAAGAAGAUUAAUACCCGAUGGCAUAGUUCUUCCGCAUGGUAGAACUAUUAAAGAAUUUCGGCCAUCGAUGGGGAUGCGUUCCAUUAGGUUGUUGGCGGGGUAACGGCCCACCAAGCCUUCGAUGGAUAGGGGUUCUGAGAGGAAGGUCCCCCACAUUGGAACUGAGACACGGUCCAAACUCCUACGGGAGGCAGCAGUGAGGAAUAUUGGUCAAUGGGCGAGAGCCUGAACCAGCCAAGUAGCGUGAAGGAUGACUGCCCUAUGGGUUGUAAACUUCUUUUAUAAAGGAAUAAAGUCGGGUAUGGAUACCCGUUUGCAUGUACUUUAUGAAUAAGGNUCGGCUAACUCCGU